UGAGGGAAGCUUAUCAGUGAGGCCAUGAGCUGAGUGCAUUUAGCCACUCUAUCCCGUGUCCCCUGGGAAGGUUUAAGACUAGGGCCAAAAGGGGCCCUAACAGGGUCUUCCCAGAGCUUCGAGGAGGUGAGUUCUGAGAUAAUGGGCUCUGAGCAAGGGCAGACUGGGCAGGAGAGGCCAUGGACCUUGCCCGUAUGGAAGAGCCCAGCAAAUGCCUCCUUAGCCAGAGCUUGGAACAGACUCAUGACCAGCACCCAAGUGAGUUCAAUGUGAGGUGAGUACCCUGCAUGGGGUUCUCAUAACCCAUGCAGACUAUUCUCCCUGUUCU
ensembl:ribozyme RNaseP_nuc Nuclear RNase P